CCACUUCAACGGUGCCGUGCCGUGUUGUACAACACGGCGUAAUUUGCCGGAUUUGCAGAUCGAUCAGCAAGCCAUUUUCAGAGCACGGCACACGGUUUUUUCACUUCUGGCCAAUCACAGUCCAGAUAAAUUACGUCAUUACCCACAUAUUUUCUGAUCAUGCGACAAAUCGCCUGCGGUGAGAGUCUAUGGGAGUUUACGUGUUAAAUGCAAAAUCGCACGUACACGUAGGUCUACGUGUAUUACCUGCUGAAGAGAGGUGAAGGAGGACUUGAUCUUGCCAUUCUUGGUCUGAUAACCGACAUGGAGGAAGCCCUUAUCCUAGAAGUGUAGGAAAAUCCAAUCCUGUAUGACAAGAGAUUGGAGAUGUUCAAGGAUACAGAAGAAAAAACGAUGUAUGACAUGACAUUGGGCGUCAGCUUGUAAUCUCAGGUGACGUAGCGAGGUGAGGGACAACUUCCUAAAAAACGACAGAAAAUGGAAAGGAAGAGUGGUGACGGAGCUCCCUCAAAUACAGCACGUAAAUACAAGUACAGUGAGGCAAUGGAAUUCCUAGUUCCUCACCUACAUAAUCGAGAAACAAGCUCAAUAUUGGAUCCUGUGUUUGAUGUGGACACACCAGGAGAAGCCUGUACCAAGCAGAAAAAAACUGCAUGAGCAGGAGAAUGGUGGGUGACAUCUGUCCACAACGUGGGUCAGGCUUCCUCGUCAUCAUCCUCAGGCACGUCCGCAACAUCAGUCCAGUCUUCAAGUCCCAACUUCACUUCAAAUCGAGGACACAAUGUUGCAGUAUUUUCAAAGCACCGAUAGUCAUGGUGACAACAUAACUGUACAUCAAUAUUUAUCCAGCUUGUCCCCUAUUGUCCCACACUGUAAAAGUUACCUCAAUGCCAGCUCCAUUGCUAUGAGAUUAAAUUUUGGUCUUCUGAACAUUGAACAUACUACUAUAGGAAUUAAAGGUUUCGUGUCAUCUAAAUCUAAGUCGAUUCCUAUUGAUGUUAUAAACAUCUCACAAUUUAAGAAUCCAAAUAUGUUUCACCGCUAAAAAGAGAGCUGAUAUCUUAUUCCCUCUGACCAUGGAGCUAAUAGCUCUAUGCUCUGACAUCACUCAAUACUCAUCCGAUACGGAUUGUUAGCUAACAAAGGGACAGUGGUUUGUAGUUUGCCAGAGCUAACAACCUGUUAACAGUCUCAACAUAAAAGAUGCAAUGUCAGACAUGCAGCAUCACCAACAAAUUAAAAGCGGUGUAUAUGAUUACAUCUGAAUGACUUAUGAUAAAUCCAUAUGAAAUAAAUCAUUUGCAGGAAAUUUACAACUUUAAUGACUGAUAUCGUAUUAUAAACAACUACACCAUAAAAUGUGUUAUUUUAAUUUCCACUUAAAUUUUUCACUUUGACAUCUCCCAUUGUUACAGUUGCAAGUCAGUCUCAAUUUGCAGAAAUUACGAUUGUGAAUGAUUAUGAUCUUCCUCUUUUGUAGAUCUGGAAAAUAUCGUCUGAGCAUGUUCACCAUUUAUUAAAAAUAUAUUUAUUUCUUAAAUUAUACUUGAAUUUAAAAUCAGGAUUUGUUCACAGAUAAGAGAAGUUGAACAUUUUGCACAUCACAGAAAUUUGGUUCAUGCAAAUACAUGUAUUAACAUGAUCACUUGUAAUGCACUAUCAAAUAUCAAUACAUGAAACCAGUUACUGUGAAAAUAAAAAUGAUGGGUACUGGACGGAACGUUUCUGGACUAAUGUUUUAUUUUGGAAACAGAGAUCUAGGAUUGUUUGAAAUAUGACAAAAUGUUAGAAACAAAAUUUCAUUUCUAAACAGAAUGGCUAAGACACUCCUGGGGCCUGUUUCAUAGAGAGGUACAACUAUCAUAACUUUGUCUUUAAUAUGGCGCAACAUCCAAUUAUAAUUGUGGUUUCCAUGGUAGUUGCCAUAAUGUUAAAGUACUUUUAAAAUGGGCCCCUGGACAUGAAGAAUACUGACAAAAGAAAGUUGAUGGUGAAAUAAAAAGAAUACAUUCAUCUUCAAGAAAUUUUUUGACGCCCUAUGCAUUUUAUUUGUUUAUAUAUCUCGUAUUAUUUUUUUCUGUAAUAAAUUGAUGAGCAUCACUUUUUUUUCAACAACAAAUAUAAUGUAGAUUGCUGAAGAACCUAAAAUAUAUUUGGAGCUGAACUAAACUCAAAAUAAAGAUGUCGAC